AGGUUGACGCCUGCCCGGUGUCGAAGGUUAACGAGGAUGCGUCAGUCGCAAGAUGAAGCGUUGAAUUGAAGCCCGAGUAAACGGCGGCCGUAACUAUAACGGUCCUAAGGUAGCGAAAUUCCUUGUCGGUUAAAUACCGACCUGCAUGAAUGGCGUAACGAGAUGGGAGCUGUCUCAACCAGAGAUUCAGUGAAAUUGUAGUGGAGGUGAAAAUUCCUCCUACCCGCGGCAAGACGGAAAGACCCCGUGGACCUUUACUACAACUUAGCACUGCUAAUGGGAAUAUCAUGCGCAGGAUAGCUGGGAGGCUUUGAAGUAAGGGCUUUGGCUCUUAUGGAGCCAU
rnacentral:rRNA from 1 species